rnacentral:tRNA from 1 species
GCCCCAAUAGCUCAGUCGGUAGAGCGUUUCACUCGUAAUGAAAAGGUCGCCAGUUCGAUUCUGGCUUGGGGCU